rnacentral:rRNA from 1 species
CUCAACUCCGCUUGAUCCUGGCGGACCCAACUGCUAUCGGGGUGGGACUAAGCCAUGCGAGUUUGCGCCUCUAGCCAUGGGGAGGCGCGGCGCACGGCUCAGUAACACGUGGCUAACUUACCCUUGGGACGGGGACAACCCCGGGAAACUGGGGCUAAUCCCCGAUAGGCAAGGAUGCCUGGAAGGGUUCCUUGCCUAAAGGAAGCUGGAACCAUGCUUCCAGCUUCGCCCAAGGAUAGGGCCGCGUCCGAUCAGGUAGCUGGUGGGGUAACGGCCCACCAGGCCUAUAACCGGUACGGGCCGUGAGAGCGGGAGCCCGGAGAUGGACCCUGAGACAAGGGUCCAGGCCCUACGGGGCGCAGCAGGCGCGAAACC